rnacentral:tRNA from 1 species
GCGCCGUUAGCUCAGUUGGUAGAGCAGCUGACUCUUAAUCAGCGGGUCCGGGGUUCGAAACCCUGACGGCGCACUA